rnacentral:rRNA from 1 species
GACGAACGCUGGCGGCGUGCUUAACACAUGCAAGUCGAGCGGUAAGGCCCUUUCGGGGGUACGACGAGCGGCGAACGGGUGAGUAACACGUGGGUGACCUGCCCUCAGCUCUGGGAGUAAGCCCGGGAAACCGUGGGUCUAAUACUGGAUAUGACUCCAUGACGCAUGUUGUGGGGUGGAAAGCCUUGUGCGGCUGAGGAUGGGCCCGCGGCCUAUCAGCUUGUUGGU